UCAAUCCUUCAGGGCAGGGUGUAAUUCCCUACCGGCGGUGAUGCUGCUGUAUAUGGCCGAAAUGCCAGUAUCAGCGCUUAGUCCGCUACCCGCUUCGUAUGUUGCAUACGGACGGUGGACCCGGUGUAAUUCCGGGACCGACAGUAUAGUCUGGAUGGAAGAAGGAGAGA
rnacentral:ncRNA from 2 species